rnacentral:tRNA from 1 species
UCCCUGGUGGCUCAGAUGGUAAAGCGUCUGCCUGCAAUGCAGGAGACCCAGGUUCGAUUCCUGGGUCGGGAA